rnacentral:rRNA from 1 species
GACGAACGCUGGCGGCGUGCUUAACACAUGCAAGUCGAACGGAAAGGCCCUGCUUUUGUGGGUGCUCGAGUGGCGAACGGGUGAGUAACACGUGAGUAACCUGCCCUUGACUUUGGGAUAACUUCAGGAAACUGGGGCUAAUACCGGAUAGGAGCUCCUGCUGCAUGGUGGGGGUUGGAAAGUUUCGGCGAUUGGGGAUGGACUCGCGGCUUAUUAGCUUGUUGGUGGGGUAGUGGCUUACCAAGGCUUUGACGGGUAGCCGGCCUGAGAGGGUGACCGGCCACAUUGGGACUGAGAUACGGCCCAGACUCCUACGGGAGGCAGCAGUGGGGAAUAUUGCACAAUGGGCGGAAGCCUGAUGCAGCAACGCCGCGUGCGGGAUGACGGCCUUCGGGUUGUAAACCGCUUUCGCCUGUGACGAAGCGUGAGUGACGGUAAUGGGUAAAGAAGCACCGGCUAACUACGUG